GUUGUCCUUAGUAGAUGGAUCCCAGAUGGUGCUAGAGUAUUCCAUGAGUGGUCUUACAAGCGUUUGAUAACAUAAUGCUUUUGUUUUACUAGGACAGCUUUUGAUGUUCCUUUGAAGAAAACUCGGCUCGGGUGGAGUUAGCUUUCUUUGCGAUGUUGUCAAUGUGUUUGUUCCAACUCAAUGUUUUGUGUAUGGAGACGCCAAGAUAUUUAGCAGAGUCAACCUCUUCUAGGAUGUGGCCGUGGAUGUUAUAAUUUGCCAUGACUAUUUUCCGCUUUGUUGUUACUCUGAGGAGUUGGCAUUUUUGGGGGUGGAAUUCCAUCUGCCAGUCUGCCUCCCAUUGUUGAAGUCCAUCCAGGUCGUUUUGGAGGGUGUUCACAUCCGUUUCGCUUCUUAUCUGUCGGUAGAGAACGCAGUCACUUGAACGCAGUCGUCUGCGAAAAGUCUAACAUUUGAAGAUGACACAUACUCUGGGAGGUCAUUUAUAAAGAGAAGAAACAUAAGCGGGCCAAUCACUCUACCUUGUGGGACUCCAGACUGCACUGGUGAGGUUUCUGAUGAUUCUCCUAUCAGGAGUACACAUUGCUGUCUGUCCUCCAGAAAGUUUCUCAGCCAUUUUAAUGUUGUUCCUCUAAUACCGUAAUGGUCGAUUUUGUACAGUAGUCGUUCAUGUGGGAC
rnacentral:lncRNA from 1 species